rnacentral:rRNA from 1 species
GCUUACGGCCACACCAUCCUGAGCACGCCCGCUCUCGUCUGAUCUCGGAAGCCAAGCAGGGUCGGGCCUGGUUAGUACUUGGAUGGGAGACCGCCUGGGAAUACCAGGUGCUGUAAGCAU